rnacentral:ribozyme from 1 species
UUAUUGUAGAUGAGAUAUUAUCUACAAACAGUCUAUAAGGUGAGAAUCCUUAACAAUCCUGUGGGGCUUAUAUCUCGUGUUUAUAGUAGUGGUGUCACGAGUAUUAGUGCAGACGUUAAAAUCAGGA